AUGCCAUCCUCUAAUUAUCAGAGACUAAAAGGGCCAAGGACUGCACUCCAGCCACACACUCAAUAUUCUCACAGGCAUCACACCCACUUGCCAUUUCCUAGCAAUGACAGAAAAUCAAGAGGAAAAUCAGAAACGAUAUGGAAUGUCGGAACAGGAUUCUGCCUGAAAGCAGGUGAUCUUGAGUUUUCUGUGACAAGUUUGCUGGGUUUUACACUCGGGCUUUUUUUCCUCUCUCUCGCUCUUCUUCUUUUUUUUUUUUCUUUUUUUUUCAAUAUCUAAAGUGGUCAGAAUAACAAAGGGGGUGUUAUGUACCUAGUGGAGACACGGCCAUGAUGUUCUUAGAGCUGAAAUGCGCUCAUUUGUCCAAAGCCUAUAAACAACUUUGGCCUUAAUUCACAAGCUUCAGUAGGAUUUAAGAAGGACUUACAGUGGCCAUCUAUAAAGGGAUGCAUUUCCCCCACCUAAGUGUAUUUUACUCACUGCAGCUGUAACUAAUAAUUCCCUAAACAAUAGAUUAAAAUCAUGCAAUUAGUAUAAAAAUAAGUAAAGCAAAGACUCAUUCCACCUAGGAGGACAUAAGCAUGUUUGCUAUCUACGACAUAGUGGAAAAGAGAGGAAUUUUUGUGUGUGUGUGUGUGCGUGCAUAUGCUAGCAGAGAAACUCUAAGUAAAGGGUCGCUACUUUGGCUAAGGAGGACAAGGCCUGUGUUAGGGAUUUGAAGGCCUUGAUUUAUAUCAUGAUUAUAAUUCAUUUGGGAUAAGCACUGUCUUAUUUUAGGUUUUCCAGUGCUCACUGGAAACAAUUUUAGUGGUACGAAUAAGUCUGUCACACAAUAAUAAUGCCCAGUAUCCAAAAGUGGAUACAAAAUUAGAUGGCUGUAUCUACAUUGGAAAGUUAAGCAGCCCAAUGGGAGCAGAUCUGUGAAGCAAAAACAGUUGGUACCAAGGACCCAAUGUCCCUAUUAAAUAAAUAGUGUCCCUAUUAAAUAAAGAGCUGGGGU
rnacentral:lncRNA from 1 species